ensembl:lncRNA
AAAAAAAACCUCAAUGAAGAGAGAGAAAUUCUGUGCAGGACUGGGGUCAAUUUACGACAAAUACUUUAUAGCCAGGCUUGAAUCCUAUGCAGGCAGAGGAAAUUUUUAAGGAGUUGCUUAUAGUUUCACUCCCAUGAUAAUGGAUCCUUCUGGCAGCAAGGCAGAAGAAAUGUGCUUACUUCAUACUAUGCAGAAGACCCUGGAAACUCAGAUUCACCACCUGGCAUAAUGACUCCAGAGAGACCAAACGUAACAGUCACCAGUUGGGCUGCUUUCUUUUCCAUUCCAGUUUCACACAACAAAGGGAUCUGCAGAUUUUAUUUGUUAUUUAUUUAGACUCUAAGAAAGCCCGGUUUAAAAUAUUAUCCUGUCCAGUAUGCGUUUCUGCUAAUGGCAGCUCAGAGUAAAUGUGCUGUUUUCCCUCCCUGAGACUGUGAAGUAAGGUCGCCCACAGUGUAAACACACUGAAAUACGCAGCAAUAAUCAGAAUCAUAAGAUCACAGAAUGGCUUAGGUUGGAUGGGCCUUAAAGAUCAUCUAGUUCCAACCCCCUGCCAUUGGCAGGGCUGCCACCCACCAGCUCAACUGCCCAGGGCCCCAUCCCCACUGGCUUUGAGCACCUCCAGAGAUGGGCACCCACAGCUCUCUGGGCAGCCUGUGACAGCGCCUCACCACCCUUUAAACAAAAACUUUCUUCCAAACAUCUAACCUAAAUCUCCCCUCUUUUAGUCUAAAGCCAUCUCCCCUUGUCCUGUUGCUAUCAGACCUUGUAAAAAGUCAAUCUCCCUCCUGCUUGCCAGUUCCCUUCAAUUAGUGGAAGAUUGCACAAGAGUUUAGCCUUCUCUAGUUAAAGCUAGUGAGGAUUUUGUUGAUGGGAGCUGGCUAUAAUGGAAUACAAAUCAGGAACUAAAACAUUAUUUUUUGACUUUGAGCCAAAUCUAAAAGAUACUAUAGCUCUGCACCAGUCCAAAGCUGCAAGCUCAAAAAGCUUCACUUCCUUGCACCUACUUUUGUGUUUGCCUGACAUGCUGAGACACUUUUCCAGGUGGAUGAAGCUCUCAGCACCUAUAAAGAGCUACAGUAUGGCCACGUCUGUCUAACUGAGCCAGAAUGUGACAAGUCCUUGUGCAGUUUCUCCAGCCUGUAGACGUUACUGGAGUGAAUGGAAAGUCUCUGGGUAAGUUUCCUUGUUAAAAUGCAGUUAUAGUUCCCUUUGCCUUUAGGACUUUGGAAAAGAAAGGGCUUGUGAUGGUUGUUUUCCAUGUAGUGGUGGUACUGCUGAGGCUUCUUUCCAGCAAGUGGAUGACCCAGGUUUAUACUCGUCUGAGCAGGAAAGCCCCUUUUCCAAAUAUUUCAGGCGAAUAUCCUAAUCAGUAAGAUGGGAAAUCAAAGAAGGAAGCAGAUUAUGAUGUUUUAAAGGGGAACACCUGCAUCUAAUGCCUUCUCCAGGGACUGCACCAUAAGCAAGAUCAUGUUUGAAUAGCACAAAUGCUAUUCCUCUGCCGCUGUUUGAAAACAGGAUAUGAGAACGAGACUCAGUUACUCAACAAGACCUAUGGGUAUCUGGUUUUGGGAAACUUCUCUGGGCUGGGUCUCCAAAAGUUCUGCAGCCUGUUGACCGGCAAGAAGCAUCCCUGCACUAUGGGGUGGCCACAUUUAAUACUUCCCCAGUGUAACACAGGGCACAAGCCUCAGCAGUGUUUCCUAAUUUAUAGCUCAAGGCAGCUCCCUGCUCUGGCACUCAGGCGGUCUCUACUGGGUUCCAGAGGGCAAUGAGCAAACUGAGGGCCUAGGUAUGUAAUCUGGGGUUCUCAGUUGUCCAGUGCUGCUGGACAGGUAAAAAACAGGUGUCACAGUGACCAACAGUGUGGAUAGACAGCAGGGUGAAAGGGUGUGUGGAGCUCCCUUCUUUAAUAGCGCUGCAGUGACACAUAUGUUAUUAGCAUGUGACUGGAUAAAAAGUUUGAAAACAAUGGGCUGCUGAUUGUUCUCCUCACUCUUUAGGUCUUUUAGUUCAUAGCACUCAAAGAGUGUACUGUCUACCUUAAAAUAGAAUAGAUAUAGGUAUUAAAAACAAACAAAAGAAACCAAAGGAAGAAAAACCUCAUCAACCAACCUAUCGCUCAUUAGCUGAGAAAAGCAGCUUUAUGUUACUGUCCAUUUAAGACCUUACUAACGCAGAUUUCUGUAUAUAUACAGAAUUACUUGUAAUGAGUAAUGGGCAGUAUAUUUAUGGAAUCAAUAUUAAAUUGGCCCUUAAGUAGUUUAAAUUCCUUUGAAGCAGAUUCACAAGGAACACUAGGGCACUCUGACAUCCAGUUGGUACCAAGCUGGGGUCAACGUUACCGAGAGUGUAACUAAUUUUAACACAUAGAUAGACCUGAUUGUAAGAUGGAAACUCAUCUGACCUAUUUUGGAUUUCUAGUUUUGGGUAAGAUGUGCUAUACACUGAAGUGCCUCUUUUUCACAACUCAUUUUUCCAUGGCUUACUCACUGGAGACUUCAGGUUUUCAGCAUCUGUAGUUAGUUUGCAUAAAUCCUACCUCAGAGUCCAAAUAGGAGCUGGGAAUAUCAUCACUAAGUAUUAUGCUCAUGUUGCAGUGCGGAGUCUGAUUUGUUGGAGCUGGUAAUAGGUAACUGUGCCAGGGUGUGUUCCUGUGUUCAUUUCAGGAUAAGCAGUUUUCUGCCUUCUUUGAAACAAUGUGAUCACUACAGAAGUCAGCCCUACAAAAUCCAGGGCCAAACUUUCUGAAAGGGCUUCAAUACCCACCUCCUCUGGAAACGAUGAGAAAUAGGUGCUUAAUUUCUUCUUGAGGCGGGGACUGUUUCAUGCCCAUGCAGGGCUGCAUUUAAUGUCAGGGGGCUUCGAUCUCGUUUAUGCAAGUAGUGCUCUUUCAUAAAAUCCUGGUAUCUGAUUGACAUAUAUUUGAGCUUUGCCUGUCACUUCAAAUCCAUUCUCAACUUUUGUCUUGCUAUUCAAUGUCACUUUUAGGUUGAAGUGCAUUUUUCCGGCAGCUACACAGCAGUUUCUAUGGGUUAAUCAUAGGAUGGCUUGGGUUGGAAGGGAUCUCAAGGAUCAUCAAGUUCCAAACCAAGUUAACACAUAUUUUAUAUGAAAUAGUGCAGUAAGCAAAUUCAUAAUGUGUCUAUUGAAAGAAACUGUGGUAUAAGUUGAUUAACCAUUGUAUCCACAUCCUUAAGGGAAUUUCAAUAAAAGUCACCUGAUUCUAAAGGACCCCUAACUAUGUAAAUGAGAAUAGGAUCACCUUUAAGCAUCGUGAACACUGGCUGAAAUUUAAUGGUCCUGACUUAUACAGUUGUGUAAAGAAAAGGAUUUUAAUUUUUAUUAUUGCUGUUAUAAUUCAUGAAAGUGUUAGAGCUCUCACAUCAGAGUAAAAAUGUCACUAAAACAUCAUUAGUUUGGGCAGAAAUAUAAUUAGUAUAAUGGGCAUAUACACUCGGAACAGCUGCUUUUUUGACAACAUUAAAUCCAUAGUCACUUUUAUGCAGAUAACCAAAAUAGUAAUAAUAAUAGUAUUACUUUUCUAUCAUGAAAUCCCUUUCACCAACACAGCAGAGUGUGCAGAAUUGUACAUUCUAAGACCUGUUUUUUAAGAGGUAAGAAAUUCUGAAUUGAAACACUUCCGGAAAAAAAAAAAAAAUCACUACUUACAGGAAAACAAAGCAAAACAAAGAGACAAACCCAUGACGGUCCUACAUUCUGCUACGAUUCAGCUCCUUCAUCACUGGCAAGAUAUUUGCUCCAGCAUAGUUUUCUCAGAUAGAACAGGCUCUCUGUAACAUGCCCAGGCAUAACUGACCUGGGGGAGGACAUUCUUACCCCAAUCCCUAAAGUCUUCCGAGGCCUGACAUAUCUUUGACCUACUUUAGAGUGAGCAGGAUAUCUAAUGCAGUUUAGAUUCAACAGAUGUUCAAGAGAUAAAAAUAGAGGAAGUGAGACGCAAUUCUUCACCAGAAAAAAUGCAAUGCCUAACAUACAAACACAUUCCAAUACAUUCUCAAUCUUCAAAAAAUUCUUGGUAUUUUGAUGUUGAAUGUCCUUGCUGUACCAGGCAUGUUACUCUUCUGUCCAAUAGGAGUUUCAGAGAGGUCAUAAAAACAUCCUGGAGUCUUGUCUUUGCCCCUGUAUGCAAUAACAUGACUGCAUGCCAAUGUAUAUGUUAAAAAUACAGAGGAAGAAACAAAGAGACCGAGUCAGUGCUUCAAAACAACAUCUACAGCCAUGAUUAGAGCAGUCCUCAGAGUUCAGCUCUCCAGUCUGCUCCAUCUGGAGAACGUGAAAUCCCUUGUCACAUCGCACAUUGUUUCAGGAAGUGAUGGCAAAAGUCUGAAGUGGGCUCUGGCCAAGGCCAUGGCCAUUCAGCAAGGCCAGCAGGCCUGGCUCCCUGCCUGUGGACAGAUGCACAGCUGACAUCUGUGUCCUAUUUGGCCCUCACUGCUGGAGUAACCCCACCGAUAGGCUCUCAGUCUCAGGCAGGGAAAGGUUCUAAUCAAAACAUUCUAUCCACAGUAAAGAUAAAAUGGAGUGGUUUUGUGCAGCUGUGUGUGCAUGAGUGCAUUCGACUGCUGAAACUCUUAGAAAGAUUAGAUACAGAAUAAGUAAUUUUUCCCCUUUUUAAAAUUUCACACUUAAUUUAAAGCUAUGAAUUUCCAUUUAAAACACUUUGUUCACCAUGUGAACCAUAAACAGUUUAUUCAAUAAUGCAUCCUCUGAAACCAAAACACUGUUUCUGUGAGUAGUGGACUGGCAUGGUGAAUGCAUGAUCCGUGUAUAUACAGAGUGGUUAAACAAAUAAGCACUUGUGGUUAUCUAAAUAUUAUGAAGAGUUAUCUUCUGCAAAAGGCAUUUCUAUUUUUCUUCUUUUGUGUAAUGACUUAAUACCAAAAUAUUAUUAAAUACAUUAAAAAACAAAACAAAACAAAACACCCACAGGUACAUAUUCUGCAAGUCAAGAAUAUAUUAAAUGCAUUAUGCUCUGUUUACCAGAAGUAAUGAUCUUAUGCUGACACAGUUCAUCCUAAAAAUAUGCUUUCUAAAAUAUUGUCUCACAAAUGAAAAAAUGGGGACACACAUGAAAAUUAUAGCUGAAUAAUUGCAUUUAUGGCCUAAAGUUACAACAGCCAGAAAAGUUGCAGAUAAGACAGGGCAUGCUUUUUACUGCAGAAUUUCCUGACUCUUUGGUUUCUAUCUCAUCCUUAAUGCUAUCUCAGUGCUAUUUUAGCCUGUGAAUUGAAUUUUCUUUUAAUUUGAGCAGAUCAUAUAUUCAUUUGUAGAUGCUCUAUCUUCAUCAAUCAAUACAUUACGCCAGGCAGCUUCAUCUCCUCCUGAAAGAUAACCUUGGAUUAUGUCAUGGCUCAAUUCCGCAUUGCCCCUGCAGAGAUAAUGAAUUCGCACAUGUAAGAGGAUCAUUUACCAAUGGGGGUGGGAUGCUGUUUUGAGCAUAUCAUUUCCAUCUGCCACAGAAUGAUUCCAUUUGCACAAAUCAAUCUCCUGGAGGAGGAUUUCUUAGCUACAGUAAGCACACUGUAGGCACUGUGUAGCAGAGUGUGUCGUCUGACAGGAGAGAAAGCAGGGAUCACAUUGCUGUUGCCCCUGAAAGUCAUAGCUUUGCUUCCCCUCACACCAAGCUCGAGAACAAUUCAAGGAUGGGGCAAACAAGGCCUUCCUUCUCCUUUUGAGGGGCUGUGGCUCUUCAGAGGUGAGAGGAGGAAUGCUUUCUUGUUCGGGUGGUCUGGUACAAGCACAGACAUAGCUGAACCACUUCCAAAAAGGCUCAGUCCUAACUGUGACAAACUCUGUCAGAUGCAAAAACAGGUACUGCUGUGAGAUGGCCUCUUUCGUACAGACUUAAGAUUCCAUUUAAUGGCUCCCAGAGGAGAAUUGAGCCAGUAUUUAAUUAAUGUGACUAAAAUUAUGCAUUUCAUCAACUGUACACCAUAUAAAUCGCACAUAUCACAUUGAAAAAUGAUGCUCUUCAAGCAACUUUGCUUUUAUGGAGUAAAGUUUGCAAGAGCUAGUGCAAAUGAAUGCCUAAGAAAGGCGUGGGCUCCCGGUGUGAACAAGGAACAGUCACAUACCAGUUCAGUGACUGCAAGUCAGGCAUCAAUAGCCAAUGUAAAGUAGAUCAUAUUACAUAUUACACCAGUUAUCAUAUGCCAGCAAGGACAAAUUAUGCACAAGGAGAAAGGAAUGAUAGCAAUAGCUGAGUGUCUUAUGGGCUAUGAGUAUUUGCAUCCCCUGCAAAAUUUUGGAAGAAUUGCAUCUGCACUUUUCCGGUGUUGUCCUCCAUCUUAGGCACGAGACAGUGGUGAGUUUGCAAGAGCAGGACAGGACCUACUUGAGUAGUGUGGGUGCUGCUUAGUGGAGCCACCUUUCUUCCCAAGUGGCUGUGCGUGCGUAUAGCUCAAAAAUCAUGGGUAAAGUACGGUUUCAAGGAACUCACUGGAUCCCGCCAUUUCAGUUCUAAUUGUUGCAAAGAAAACAAAGGCUCCCUCAGUUCAUUUGCAACCAUAAAUUUCAUUUUCUAUAUAGACCUCUGAAGACCUGUAGCGUGUUUCUAGGUGUAGCUGCUGUUGGACUGGAAGUUUCUGUGGCUUCUCCACUUACAUGGAUUAUCAUAGUAUAUGCAGGGUCAGAAGCAACCUUUGUCUUGGUGGUAUAUUGUGUGCAUUCAUGCAAUGUGUGGGGAGGACAGAAGAUCUCAAUUUAGUGCAAAUUACAAAUUACAGGCAAACAUUUCAUUUGGUAUCCUUUCACAUUCAUAUUCAGAAAAAAAUUGUAUUUUUUUUACACAAAGCCCACUUUUUCUGUUGUAUUUCAAUCUAUUGCAUGUCAUUGUUCAGUCCACAUUGUGUAAUGCUGUGAUCAUAUCAGCUGUCAUAAAGGAUAAUUUAGUAAUAACAAAAUGUGUCCUGAUGCAGCUUGACAAGAUGAAAUUUGCAAAAAAUAAAUAUGGUUCCUGGCCAAUAUGCAUUCACUGUAAUGACUUCAGGCAUCCCUCCCUUAAUGAAUUACAAACCAACAAUAGUCUUCUGAUUGGUUUUUGGCUGCAACAAACAGGGAAUGGUAUGACUAUUAAAUAUCUAUGGGACAUACUUCACACUGGCGUACAGACUUAUGGAGAGGUGACACAUAUACCAUGUAGUUCUUAACAGGUUAUCCUGAUUACUUCUUCUGGUUCUCACAGGUAGGCAAAAAGUAUGAAUUCACUGGAGCAGAUUUUUCUUUUGGAAAAACAUAAAUCAAUCUGAAUUCAUUGAAACUGUGUUUUUUUUUUAAGAGAAAGUGUUCAUAAAUCUUGGAGAUAACUUUUAUUUUUUUAAAAGAUCUAUAUUUUAUGACAGACAGUUUAAAUUUGCACCUGAGACCAUAAUAGUUCCUAUGAAAGGAGAAUGGAUAACAAAUGGAAUGGAAGGACUCCCAUUAAGCAUAAAAUUACUCAACAAGAACCACCGUGAAUCAAUUAAUCAUAAUGUAACAGGACUUUAAUUUUUGGGCAUUCUCAAAAUCCAAAAUGUUUACAUCAUUUUUCAUAGUAACAAAUAUGAUUAUCAUUGUUUACAGCUGAUGAAACACAUGAUUUUUAUCACAGUAAUUAAAUACUUGUUCAAUUGUUUUGAUUUUUUUUUAAAUUUAUUUUCUAGUAGUCUUCAAAUUGAAUUCUAAGGCUAUCUAUAAGGCUGUCUAAAGGAGACUGUGACAAUGAUGCCCUUCCACCCUUUAGAUCGUGUGCAAAAAGGAUCAGAAAAAUGAAUUUACAGGACAGCAUGAUCAUACAAGACAUAUGUGUAGUUUAGAGUAAGGCUUGGAUCCAGGUUUGUUGCAGAGAAAUAACAUAAUGCAUUUAGGACUACAGUAAGACUAUUAUAAAUAGAUAGUUUUAUUUCAUAGAAUCAUAGAAUGGUUUGGGUUGGAAGGGACCAAUAAGAUCAUCUAGUUCCAAGCUCCCUGAUGUAAGCAGGGACACCUCCCACUAACCAGGUGCUCAAAGCCCCAUCCAGCCUGGCCUCAAUGCCUACAGAAAGGAGGCAUCCACAACCUUGCUGGGCAACCUGUUCCAGUGUCUCACCACCCUCACAGUAAAUAAUUUCUUCCUAAUAUCCAGUAUAAAACUACCUUCUUCCAGUUUAAAGUCAUUUCCCCUCAUCCUGUUGCUACGUGCUUUUAUAAAAAGUCUUUCCCUAGCUUUCCUAUAGGCUCCCUUCAGGUACUGGAAGGCCACUAUAAGGUCCUCCUGGAGACUUCUCUUCUUCAGGCUGAAGAACCCCAACUCUCUCAGCCUCAUUUGAAUGAGAAUAUUAUUUUGUCACCAGUGCUUCAGAUUUGUCCCUCAGUUAUUUAUCUCAGUAUUAUUUAAACAUUCAAAAUUAUUGACACCUUCAUAUGCCAGCUAACAGGACUGCAUAUUAUUCAAGAACAGGUAGAUACAGAUAGGUAUAUUAGCUGUGUGACUGCAGAGGGCAGACUUGGCAUCACCAGUAUUUUUAUUUACAUGGAUUCACUCAGUAAGGAAUGCUAAUUAUUCAAAUAGCCUAAAAGAAGGUUCCUGAUUAUUGUCCCAUGGAAACAAAUGAUGCCAAAACCAAUUUUUGAAGAUAAUUUUCUUUGCAUUUUUUUGCAGAUUCCUAUUAAACUAAAAUUUUGAAAUGUAAAAUAGAAAUAAGAGCUUAAAGAAAGAAAACACUGAGGGCACUAACUUGUUUCAAAUUUUAUUUUAAAACCAAACAAAAAAAAAGAAAAAAGAAGAAAAAAUAAAAAGAAAAAGGAAAAGAAAAGAAGAAAAAAGAAAAAGAGAAAAGAAAAGAAAAGAAAAGAAAAGAAAAGAAAAGAAAAGAAAAGAAAAGAAAAGAAAAGAAAAGAAAAGAAAAGAAAAGAAAAGAAAAGAAAAGAAAAGAAAAGAAAAGAAAAGAAAAGAAGAGAAAAGAAAAGAAGACCAAUCAACCAACCAAACAAAACAGCCCUUUUUUUGAGCAGCCCAACUUACCACCCUUACCAUAGUGAAUCAGAUGCAGUGAACAAUAAAACCCACAAAUGCCUGACACACAUACUGCUGAGAAGGCUUAAGGAAAUACCAAAUGCAGAUCUUCACUCUCUGACAAGCAUGUGCUUCUAGCAUACUGUGUACUUCCAGCUCUGUAAGUUUGGAUAAUUCCAUUUGUGAGGUAGUUUUAAUGCAAACCAUAUCUAGAUACCCAAGUAGGUGGCUCUCUAUAUGCCAGACACGGUGAUAUGUUUCAUUAAACAAAGCUACCCUUCUUUGGAUAUACAAUAUUUUUUUUAGAGAAAUAUAUAAGAUCUCAGUACUAGUUGCAUUAUUUAGAGUUUGUAUACCUCAUGGAAUGUGACAUAAAUAUUAUUUCUUUAAAGCAACCAGAAAAGGCUAUUUGUCUCUUUUAGUAUGACUCAUACAAUAAUUCAAUUUACAUACUUAAAUCAAAUGAAUCGUCUGUCUCAUGCUAACUUCUUUCAACCUCUUUUAUUAUGAUAUAAGUUGUUUGUUUUGUUUCCAAAAUCUAAUACUCCAUCUCCCUUGUACUAUCAGUGUGUAUGAAUAAUGAAUAUUUGGUGCCUUUUAAUACCUCUUAGUUUAUCAUAACAGGCAAUGUCUUACAUCACAGCCAAUUUCAUUGAUUAUAUGCAAUUUACUGAAUAUGUAUGUCAUCUAGCCUGUAUUAGGCUGGGUUAUGACUGUAUAUAUAUGAACACUGCCAGCUGCUUUAGCACUUACAAGCUCCUGAUUAGCCAAAUUACAGUCUUGGACUUAACAAGACACAAAGAUAUGCUUUGUGCUCCUUAUGAUACUGCUCUUUGGAGAAAUAUUUUAGUACCUUUGGAACCGGCCAUAGCAUUGAAAACAUAAAAGCUAAUGGCCUUUAUGACUGAGAAACCAUGAAAGAAAUGCUGAUGUGCACAGUAAGUUAAAAUUAACACAGGUGCUUACAAUGCUUUUCCAUCAGCACAAAGUCCUUGAUUUAGAAGGCCUUAAGGUAGAUGGUUAAUUACUUGCUGAAUCAGGUUGAGAAUGCUUAUACAAAAGCCUUUGCUAAUUUGGAGGAAGAAAAGUUCAAGGCAAAUAUGUUUCAAGCUUUGGAAUGUGUAUGGAACUUGUGACAAAAUGAACAGAGUAAUUCCUGUAUCAGUGGGAGGCACUUUCCAUGCCUGUGGCCCUCAGGUUACCUGUGGGUUUUAAAAACAUGAUCCUCCAUCCUUAAUUCUUCCAAAGCAAGACUAUUGGUGGGAGGACAACAUCAGGAUCUUACCUGUGAGGCAGGCAGGUGUGGAUUUAUGAGGUGUAGAGAGAUUAGCUGCCAUUCAUCAUUACCAACCUGUGGCUCUUUCUAAACCUCAGGGUUUGGAGGGAAGGGGGAGCUAGGAGAUUGAAAAGCCUUUCCACAGAUAUUGCUGUAGUUUCCAAUACUUGCUUCCAGUACCAAGGCAGCCUCAGUUUUAUGGGUUGCUGGCUUCAAGUGGGCAUACUUUAUGGCCAGUCAAGUUCCAGAAUGUCCAGUUGCCUCUCUGAAGGGAUCAGCUUGGCCUUUCCUGGGGGAUCAAGGUAGGCAAUGGACCAUGGAGAGGCUUUUGUUCCAAUGGGAGCUGUCCUGGAGCCAGAAGCAAGGCAGAAGGAAAGAGGGAGAAGUUCUCAUCCUGGGCAACUUGGCUUUCUCAUGUGGCCAAGAGCCCUUUUUUUUUUUUUUUUUUUUUUUUCCAUGGGUAAGCCCAGUGUGCUGAUGAACCAUGACAGAUUAUUCAAGAGCUUGUUUCCAAGGAAUAGUAAACAUAAAGGGCAGUGGGGUUCGUGAGUUAACAGUUGCAUACAUCAGAGUGUGGCACUCCUCUGUAGGUAUGUGACUUAGGAAAUCAGAGAAAGGUGCUGAAAAUCUUCCCGACAGAAAGCCCUGGUACACACAAAAAUUUCCAACUAUAUCCCAUCACCAGUGAUGAGGUCCCAAGUGCUGGCCCACAUCAUCGUGAUCGGGAUGGAAGAGCAAAAGAAGGCAGGGGAACCCGGGUCAGGUGCAGCUGUGGCCCUACUUAGGAAUUUUGUUGUAGAGCCAUCAGAGAAUUUCUUCCCUAGGAAACAUGGUGAGGUCAUGCAAGUGCUCAGAUCAGGCUCCAGUUGAGUCUUAUACUGAUUAGCAGAAGAUUUAAUUUCACUCUGAUUAAAAAAGAGCAGAUGAAGAGGUAUGCUGAAUAAUCCCUACAGGCAUGUAUCAGCUCCUAGGCAAACCUUUUUAUUCUGCUAUGGUGUAUGACAAAAGCUCUAAAUUUUAACUUGACAUUUUUUUUUUUCUGAAGGGCCCUUUUCCAUAAAUUUCCCAGGCUCUUGUUUUUGAGAUUGUUACUGUGCAGAAAGAAAACAUCCUUGCUGCUUGCUUAUUAGAAUAUAUUUAUUUAUCUGUACCAUACAACAAACCUUAUUUAUUUUCCUACAUUCAUAUAGUAAAUCCUGUAAAUAUGCUCUUAGUAAUCACCAACAUGAUUUUCAGGACUGUAAUUCAUAAAUGAAACUCAUGAAAAAUAUUUUUGUCAGUUUUAAAUAACUCUACACAUUUAAUACAUUGAGUCAUAUGCAAAUUUGAUUAAGGGAGAUAUUAUCUUCCUCUUGCUGGAAGUUUCACUCAUAAAUGAGAAGAUUAAUGUUUGUGAACAACUUUUCAAAAAAUCAGCUCAUGUCACAAGUUCUCUUUCUGCCUGCAAGAAAUUGAACUCCAAAAUAGGAUGGCACAAGUUAUGUUUCUACAUUUUCCAUUCCUUAGUAUAUCCACUACCACAAGAAAAUGUUGAAAUACUUCUGAACUAAGAUACAUCUGACAGGUUCCAAGGGCUAUAAAGCAAUGUACUAGCUUAAGGAACACACUGUUAGACACAGAGCUAUUGUUUAAAAGUGAAACAACCCACAACACACAAAAAAAGUUGUGGACAGCUACAACUUACGUAAGCUAGUAGCCAAACAAUGGGUUGUUCUCAUACAACAUUAACACUGACAUAAAUUCAUGGAUUUUAAGGGUUUCUGUCAAACAAGGAUUUUAGAACAUUUUGCUGGAAAUAAAUGCAUAGAUACAAGAGUUCAUCUAUGCGUGCAUAUAAUCAGAGCAAUGGUAUACAUACAUAUUUCCUAGUAAAAGAGAAGUAUACACUAAUGUGAAGAAAAAUAUAUUGCUCAAUAGUCUUUUGAAAGAAUUUCAUCAAAGUCCCUUUGACAUUUAAUAUCAUGGUGAUCUGUAAUCAAAUCUGGGACAAAUUUAGCACUCCCAUGUCUUCUUUAUUAAACGUAGGUGGUUUUCCUGCAUACCUUAAUAAAACAAUGGGAAUAGGACUUCCACUCUAGUUCAUGAGGGCAACUCCAGAAAUUUCUGAAACUCAUUCCUAAUUUAUUCCAUUUGCAGCUGUUUCUUUAAGGUUUCUCUUCUUUUAUCAGAAGAAACGUAGGAAUAAGGAACACUUCCAAGUAAUAAGUACACACCUAAUUUAUUACACCAGGAAAAGCAAUGUUCAGAGGCUCCAUGAAAGAAAUCUCACUCAAGUAGAUGAGUUGUUUCAUAUAAUGGCUUUGUGUUAUUGUUGUGCUUUGCUUUUUGUUUUCUGUUUUUUAUUUUUUGUCAGCUUCUCUCUUUAAUAACGGGCUUUUUUCUUCAUUGACUUCUUGCUGAACUCCUUUGUAGAUCUGUCACAUCAGAUUAGCUUGUUCAUGUUCACAAUGCCCUGUCUUCUGGAGAGUUAUGCCUGUAAGGAGAAUAAAACUCAUCCCUCAACUUCAAGCAGACAGAAAACACACCUCUGUCCAAGUUUCUCCAAGGCCCUUUUGUACAUAGAGCAGCGUGUUUCCAUAACAGAUGUUAUAAUGACAUUUCUCUCCCACUGCUUUCCAUGUGAGACGAAUGUGAAGGAGGUUCUUCAGAGGAGGUUUUUUUUUUUUUUUUUCCAGUUAAACAAGGAGAACAGACACACUAGCACUCUAAAAUAUUUUUGAGCCACCCCUAUUGUGCAUCCAAUGGUCAGGAGCAAACUAAAUGCAUCCUGGGGCUUGAGGGUGACUUUCAGCCUGACAGAUUGAGGUCGUCUAGCACAGUUCGCCAAGUACUUGCACGUUCAGUAAAUCUCUUCAUUAGGGUACUCCUCCCUCUUUAGAUCUCCCAAGCUAGAAAAGCACAUUUGCAAAGACAAGUUGCUGCUGGUUGAAGCCCUUGGGCCAGUGAGUGGGUGGAGUGGCUGCCAUGGUUGUGUAAGGCUCUGGGCCACACAGCAAAAGCAGGGACCAAAGUCACUCACUGUGGAGCAGGGGUGAGCCUGGGGAGCAGACAGGAUGGCCAGCCAGAGGCUGCUGCCCACAGCAAGCUCUCCUUUUUGUGCUGUGGGACAGUUCAGUCAUUAUCUUCUCCCUCACCCACUCCCACCCCAUCUCUUUUUUAAUUUAACACAGAGGAUGAAAUUUUGGCUCAAUGUAAAUAGGAUUUUUACCACUGAUUUCAAUAUGGCAAGAAUUUCAUCUAAACCCUCCAUGCCUCACUGAAGACAAUAACACAAAGAACACUAUUUUGGAACGGAGAAAGGCACCGUAUUUGUGAUCUGCUUUGUUUAUUGUGUUUGGGGGCUUCAAGAUGUAGUCACCCACCCACUUCUUUAUUAAAUGUUAAUUUGGCUUUUGAAAGUUUUACAAGCUACAGUAAAACAAUAAUUAAAAGUUUGUACGCAAUUUCCAUAGCUGGUUUUCAUUCCUCAGGGAGUAUUAAUUCUGGUUUAAUUUGUUUUUCAUUUUCAUUGUGCAACUAAACACAGUUUGUUUUUAAAAGGAGGAUCAAACUGAUGCUGAAAUAUGCAUACAUGUGUUGGCAGGCACUUCUCAAGAAGGACUGCAACCUGUGAACUUGGACCUCAAACAACAAAUGUGCAGAGCUCACAUGAACUUGAAGUUGCCCUUUUUUUUGUGACAUCUAUAAACAUUUAUGAAGCUUUGUUUUUAUUCCAGUAAAUCUAUGUUGUUAUUUUGGGUCUUUUAAUAGUGUCUAUUUAUAUCGUGAAAUUAUGACAACUGCGUUGUCUUUCUGGAAAGCCACAGGUCAAGGGUCUGCUAAGCAAAUACUAACACAUGUGAGUAACUUCCCUCAUAUGAAUAAUUAGACUGAUCUUAACAGAGUGGUGUUUUUAGGAUCAAGCUCCCAAUAUUUUGACAUACUUCCUGAAAUGUUUUGUAGAUAGGAGCUGUUGACUUUCAUAUGGUGAAAAAAUAAUUUGAACGCCAAAAAGCCCCUCCAAAAGAAGGGAACAUAUUUGGGUCAUCAGGUCUUAACAAUUACAGUUUCACGUGUUAGCUUUCUUUUCCUAGGUACAAGAAGUGUUGGAAGAACAUUUACUCAGAAGAGAUCAAGUAGAAUUACUGUCAAAGGUUUGUGUAAGUUAGCAUAUAUAAUGCUUCCCCUGGUUGUAUGCAAAAACAUUUGGAGAUCUCUGUAUUUUUUUCCCCUCAUCUUCUAGGAAAAAUGAUGGAAUUAAUUACUACAACUGGGAUAUAUUAAAUUUUAUAACUUAUAUCAUGUACCUUUGCCAUGAAGAAAUAGAAAAAUGUAUACAUGGGAACAUCCCUUUAAUGAUAAGAACUACAAAAAUUCAUGCUUCCUAUGAUAAAUAUUAUUCUGUAUUUAAGGCUAUGCCUGGAUAUACUUCCUCUGUAGUGCAUGUGUUAUGAAAGUAAACAACAGUGAGACAGAAUUCUGAUCAUACAAAGUGUACAUAAACUUGAAGUUGUGUGGAAUAGGCAUCUUUCCUUAAAAAGAGAAUUUCCUCAUCAUCUACUGAGAUAUUAAAUUGAUUCUUGGAAAGGUUUUUGUGAAUACACUAAUCCAUUUUUUCCUGUCACUUGCACAGAUUCUUGAUGUGUUAGAAUGCAAUUCCAGUAAAAACUUCUCUCAGAAAAGCAUGUCAGGAACAAAUUAGCUCUUUACUCUUUAUUGAAAUAUAUUCAAGGGUUUGCCAUGUUGUCUUCUGUACCUUAUUCUCAAAAUAAAUAUUUUAUACUUAUGCUUAACUGCUGCUAGUAAAUUGCAGAAAUUUUUUGCUUAAGUUCAUUCUUGCAAUAAAGGUGGAAAAGUUUUGUAAUAGCUUGAGUGCAAAUUAAUAUCUAUGAAUGUCUGUAUCUUUUUCAUUUUUAACCUGAUAUUAAUUACUUCCUUUAUUUUACCUUGCUAAAAUAUCCUGCUUGAAAUAUUUCUUUAAGUAAAAUUCCACAAAGCUUGCAAAGAACCUGCAGUCCAGGUAGCAUACCAUUCCUGAUGGCAGAAAGAGCAUACUGUCCAUUAACGUUGAGUCCUGUGCGUGGUCUGUCCGGUGAUACACAAUGUCAUUUAAGACAUUUCAUCAUUCUCUGCUUGAGCACUCUUCUCUAAUCUGAUGAGGUACCCUGGGAAGAAACGAUGAUAGCCAAGGCAUUAAAAUGUAAUCAAGAUAUGCAAAUUCAUGUCUAAAUGUGAUUUGCUUGGAAAGAGAAAUUAAUCUAGGCAUGGCCAAAUAAACAGUGUGUAAUAUGGAUAAUUAAUCACCAAAUUAGCAGCUGUAGUCCCAUGAGAAGAUUAUGUAAAUGAAAAAGGCCCCCAUCUACGGUCCCAAUUAGACUACUUAAUACCAAACUCUAAACAAAACACAGCCCCUGGGAGCGCCAUAAAAUAAGGAAGUGAGUCAGUCUGAGUGGGUCAUUCUCCAAGUUUCACAAGCACGUUUCAUAACUACGUUAUUUUUCCUGAUUUACAGAAAGUAAUUUAUCAGUCAGAUAUAUCAGGCUCACUGAACAACUUGUAACCUUGAAAUUCCACUGAAGUUGCUUUACACAAACCUAAACUUCUGUGCAUACAACCUAAAUCAGCAGUUAAAGGAGACAGGCACUAGAGUGCAAGUCCUUAAUCCCAGGGCCCAGAGUAACAGGGAUCAAUACUGCAGGUAAAGGUGAGAGCUCCAGACAUAUGCUAGGUGCCCUCUGUGUAUUUGGAAAUUAUAUCCAGAAGUUUCAAUUACUGCUUUACACUUACAUUUCCAUAACAGAUCAGUCCUAUCUUGUUUCAGAAAAUGGUAUUUUCUCCAUAUUUCCAAGUACAAACCUUCCUGAAUUAAGUACUUUCCACUGGUUAACCAAAUUGAGGAUACCUUAUGUGAAUUAGGCUUGGGUAUGGUACAACCUGGCUCAUGACAGCAGAUAGUUUUCCCUGAGGCUGUGCAUCACACUAAGACCAUGGCCCUAUCUGGAAUACAUAAAAUAUUAUCAAGUUAAGAAACUUGACCCAUAGGUGAAGGGAUCUAUUCAGCAUUUGAUGUACAGCUUCCUUGAGACACUUCAGUAGGUCUGAUAGAUUCAGCUUAACACUGACUUGACGCAGAUGGAAAUAUGUUGACUUUUCUGAACACAAUUUUAGAUGUUUUUUGAUGAAAAAAUAAUAAUCUGACUCUUGUAUUCAUUUACAGUCAAAGCAAUUGUUCAAAUAUCAAAGUUGGCAAGGGAUUUGAAUUUCCAUCUUCUGAUGAACUUUACAUCAUUAAUUCCAUGGAAAGGAUCUUUGUGCAGUGUAGGACAGAAACUGCACAGUGCAUUCUCAGCCAAGAAAAGCAGAGCUUCGCACUUGUGAUCUCUGGUUAUCUGUUACUAUAAGCUUUUGAAGGUGGAAGAUACCCCUGAAAACACAACACUGUUGCAAACUAACUUAAGGUAGAACUGAUCUGAACAGUCACUGGGAGAGAAUACAAACUCCAUUCGUGGAAAAGAGGAGUUUCCUAUUUUUCUGAAAUGCUUGUGUUGGUCUUUCGAUGCUCUGGACUCCAAAUGACUUUCUACUUAUUCUACAUCUGUUCAGAAUAAACUGCACUCAUUUUAUUUAUUUAUUUUUUACUCCUUGUGAAGCUAUUUGUGGAUUCUUUAGGUAAGGUUUUCAAAUAACUUCUUUGUACAGCUAUGUAACACUUGUUAUAUAGCUCCUGUGCAAGGCUUCCAAAGCUGCACAGUAACAAGGUUAGUACAGAAUAUUCUACUCUUCUCACAGUUAGUUAACUGACAUACUGAGUGCAGUAGUUUCAUGUUGUGUUAUCAGUACAAUGAGGUAUAUUACUUUUGCAAACUACAGCAUGAGUUUUCUUGCUUAUGCCAAUUUUGUUUUUGGAUCUGAG